UUGCCUGUCUUUUUUGCCAGAGGGACUUACAGCAUUUUAUGUCACUUUUACUUACUGCAUCACAGAAACCCCUGUUUGCAUGCUGCAUGCCCCCUCUAGCACCCUCUAGGUGAAGAAGCAUGAAUCAUCAGUCAUUCCUUUACAAUUUGGUGUUGAAAUAGAGGUCCGAUGUCCAUGGAAGUUGCAGCAUUUUAACAGUGUUCAGCUCAGGAAGGAGUGUCAGAAUUUCAUCCCUUCUUUUUUAACCUUACUCACAUUUUCCAUAAAGCUGUAUAAUUGUUAACACACAGUUAUGAAGUGUGUAGUAUAAAUGACAUUUCAGUUAGGGUAGGACAUGUUGGAGCAUUAUGGUUGAUUCAAGUGAGUGAUAACACUACAUAUGAUUUGAAUGUCUUUUCUUGUGGGGGAGGGAAGAGCUUUUGGCUUUUUAAUGUCUUGUCUUUUAAAUUAAAGUAAAAGUUAAUUGCCUAAGCCAUAACAAGAGUUUUAACAGAGGUUUGCUGCUACCCUGCUCUCUCACAUGGCCACCUCCCCCUGUUGAAUGUGGGUGUAGCAGGCUGCCUCGCUGCAGGUGAGGAGCUCUGAAUCAGCACUUUGUGUUUGCUCAAGGCUCAGUAAUGUAAGGUGUGGCUGUAAAUACAGCCCAGCAGGGAAGGGCAAAGCCGCCUGAGAAUUUUGGUCUUAACAUAAUGCUCCUUUCCUGUAGCACAUCGUUUGUCACUUAGGAAGCAGUUGUAGCCUAAAAUGAGAAUGAAAUGUCAUCUUCUAAAAUAAACACAUAGAGGGCAAAGUGAAGAAAAGUGUAAGUCAUUCCAUGAGAGGAAAGUAAUCACAGCAAUGCUUUUGUUUUCUAAAACUGGGUUUGAAGCAUGCCUCCUUCACAUUAGGCAGUUCCCUGAAUGAUCAUUUUCAGUCUAUUUUUGCAUGUCUGGGAUUAAGAAAAAUAUUGUUCCACAUAUAUAACUGUUUGUUCCAAUACACAAAGGUAGCAACCUCUUCAGAAAGCUUUUCUGUAGAAUAAGGCAGAUAGCACAGGUUAUAUAUAGUUCUUUCUGUGAAUACUGAUGAUUGCUGACUUUGUGAUAAUGCAUAUAAAAGAGAUUUUUUUUGUAUUUAUUGUCUCCUGUGCUGUCACACAGGUAACAUCCACACAGGCAGAUAUUCCUAUCAAUGCUCAGGCUGUUGCAUCACUUUUUGGGUGGCAAAUGCUUUGAAGAAUGGGGAGAACUGUGGGUUCCUUCACCAGCCUCUUGUUCCUUGCUGUUAUCAGGCAUCCAUCAAAACCAUUGCCAACACUGAGCUAUAGCUGGUGAAGUUUUUAAUCGAUGUGCAAGGCACCUACAGUUAUUACACUACAGGUAUUGAUGAUGCAUUACCUUCUGCUACCACCUCGUAUAUGCCCAGUGCCCAUAUAGAAGUAUGGUCAGUUUCUUCAUGAAAAUGCAUUAAUCUUUUGCAGGUUAUUGUUUGUGUGUACAUUUGGUUUUGGGGUACUGAAAAAACUUCUGUGUUUCACUAUACAGAUUGUUAGGGCUACAUCUACUGUAUUUGGAUCUCAGUUUUGCUCUGCAGGUAGUAAGAGUGGUGUUCUGCUUUGUAGAGUAUGCCCAGAAGUAAACAGGAGUUUCCAGUGAAGACUUCUGGUUUACCCCAUUAUUUUAUUAUUACGAAUAAUAUUAGAAUAAUAUUAGAAUGCAUCAUAGCCAAACUAAAACAUACAUGCUGUUCUAUGUCAACUUUACUUUUGGCAAUAGAGUUGUAGUAACCAUUGAUAUCUGAGAAAACACCUGAUAAUGGAGCUAUAAUGUGAAGCAAAAUAUGCUUCAGAUUUGACUGGAAACAAGUUCAGAGAUCUGGUGUGACAUUUUAAGUUACCUACAGUGAAACCUGUGAUCAUUUCUGAUUGUAAAUCGAUGGAGAAUUCUUCACAGUAAUCAUAAUCGUGUUGGCAUCACAGAACUGCUGUGGCAGUGAAUUGUGAUUUUUUUAGAACCACAUUGUUACAUCAAGGAGAUCAUUAGAGCUGAGCAAUCCAACCAAAACAACAUGAACAAAUGAAACUGCUUGUUUAACAGCACUCUGCCAAUCAGUGUUGUAUAACAUGUUUCAGUCUGCAAAGGCAUCUCUGAGGACUGAGGCAGAGCUUCACUGAGUGGAACAAGGGGUCUCAUACAAUGACAGAACAUGGCAGAAAAUCCUUCAUAGAAUGCAGUAAAAUUUUGGGGGAAAUAUUCUGGUAUAUUUAAUUCUUGCCGUAAUUAAAGGGUCUUUCAGAGCAAUAAUUAAUGUGGAAUCCAGAGGUUCACUGUGGGAACUGUUUCUUUCACAUUUAUACUGACAAGAUUGAUUGGAACUAAAAUGUAUUUAUAUGACAGAAGUUCUAAAAAUACAAAAUGUGCUGUAAACCCUGUGUAAUUCAGCAUAACAAUGUCAAGUCAUCUUUUGUGGCUUUGGUUUUGCAUUUUUAACAUUGCUUUAACAUGUUAGCAAUUUUGUAUUUUAUUCUGUAGGGGGAAAAAAGAAAAGAGGCAGUUUCUGGUCUUAUGAAUUAUAUUCUGCUAGAAUCAGAAUUCUCUCCUGAGUCUGACUUCCAUAACAGGUUAGAAUAGCGGUCGUUCUGAUCUCUUGGGGCUUCCAAUUAUGAUUUUUUUUAAAGUUUACUGAGCUAGUGUUUGAGGCAAUAUAGAAUUCAGAAAUGCAGCCCAUCAGCAGUUUGCUGAAUUUGAGUUUCUGCCUGCAGAAUAUUAAGGAAGUAUAAUGAAGUUUAGUAAAAUACAUUGAGCCAUUCUGCAGCUAUAUAUUGCUGCUGCAAAAAUAUUACAAUUAGUUUGUAGAAAAUAAAAUAUUAUCAUCCUAUUAACAUGAAAUAAAAUCUGUCCUAAAAUUCAUAAACAAAAUCAAAUUAUAAAUGCCAAUAUGUGAAAUCAGGGGGAGGAAGUAGUAGGAUGCAGUUUUUUGGUGCAUCCUUUUUACUAAUUUUGCCAUACAGGAAGUACAAAGGGAAGGCAGCUUUAGAAGAUUCAAGGCAGAGUCUCCCCUGGCUUUCCUUUGUUCUCCAGCACCUCUCCAAGGCUCUUACAUAUUCUGCUGAGACAGACUGGUGUGUGCCUGCUUCACAGAGGAAGUACAUUUUGGAAAUGAGACGUUAGAAGGAAGUAGUUCACAGUUGCUGCUUUUGGAGAGGAGGAAGCCCUGUUAAUAGGGAAAAUGAUGAAAGAAAAGGAAGACUCAAGGGCACAAGUGUAAAGGAUGAAAUAAUGGCUAGAAUGAAGCAGAGUGGGAAAGGAAAAAUAGUUACUGCUGCAUUCCCUCAAUUUUUCAAGAUUUUCAGCUCUCUGGUAUUAUUUAUAUGGAUUUGACCAUUAUGUAGAAGGAAACUGCAGAGAGAUGCCAGUCUUUGCCAAUUAGUGUCUGUGUAAGAAGUAACCUACUUUUUAAUUAUGUUUAUCUUUCUUCUAGGCUUCUGUCCCAAAUAUGUCGGCUUUUACCACCUCCUUUUGUAUGCCCUGAUAUCAGGCAAAAAGAUGUACCCUGUUUUGUAGUUGAUAUUUUGACAUAGAUACAAAAUUACAUAAGUGUUACAGAGACAAUUUUCAGCCUGUGGUAGUUGUAUCUAUUCUACCCAUCCUACCAUUGUACAAGACAUGUUAAAUCAGAGCAGGUUCCUUAGAAUCAGUCUCUGCUUGAAAGAUGUAUGUUGAUUUGGUAUAUAAGUGAAACAUAAAAAGAAAGACACCACCAGGUUUUUUGUGUGCUUUUUCCCUGUGUAAUUAAGGUCUUGUGUUGAUUUCACAGUUCCGUAUAUUGGCGUUAGUCAAUGUCAGUAGCUCUUUCAGAAACCAAGGGAAAUUGAAAUUACUUUUUUCUGUAAUAAAUUAAAUUGUUUGGCUGUAGUGUCCAAUUAGCACCAGUCCAAUUACAAGAUAACCUGGUGCAGGAAACUAGGAAGCAAUACAUCUUGCUUCCUAGGAAGAAACUUCAUUGUAUUUUUAAUAAGUGCUAUUAAGGAAGACUUCUUUGGGAGCAGGUUUCACUGAGGGUUUGUUCAUUAUCAGCUCAAGGUGAAGCCAAGGGGAACCUUUCUUAUUUCAUACCAGAAUUGAUUUUUAAAAAAGAAUAAAUAACAAGUGCAUGCACAGGGGGUUGGUGCAUGUAUUAAAAAGUGGAGUUGCCACUGGUAACACAGCUGAUUUCCUUUGUGAGAAAAGUUGUUGUUCAUUACUUACCUGAAGUGAAAGGUUAAUGGCCUGUAGCAAUCUGAAGAAACCCCUACAAAAAUGCACAGCAAGGAUCUAAUGUGGUACAAUAGUGCUUUCCAUGUGCUUUUCCUCAGGUAAGACUGACACAGAAGAUAGCGUUUGCUAUGAAAAGAAGUACCCAGUAAACUGGAAAAUGAAAAGGUCCCUGCCACUGUUAAACAGACAGCUGUCACCACAGGCACAAAUUUUGAUUUCUUUACUGAGGUUUGCGAAACGUGCUGGUCAUGCUCUGUAUAGAACUGCUGAACUACUCCUUAAGAAGCAUUUUCGAUGUAGUAGAAGUGUAGUAGAAGUAACUUAUUUUGUAGUUGUAUCUUUUGCUUUAAUUGCUUUCUCAAUAGCUUAAAACUGUUACUUUGGCACACUUCUUUUUUUUCUUGCAGUUUGAACACAAUUAAAAUUGAGAUCUUUGGUGUGUUUGAUACUGGGAUAUUAUGAAGAAUUUUGUUGUCUCUUGAGCACUUCAGGGACAUCAAUUAGGCGCCUCACUGAGACGCCUGUGAUAUCAGAUGAAGCCAAGUCACUCAACAGCUGAGGAGAAAAUGCUGUUUAUGUGUUUCAAACCAGAGAAUAAUUUAAUGGGUAUACACUGCAACCAUCAGUCUGUCAUUGAAGAAAACCUUAAGUUGGCACUGCCUCUGGAAAUUACAGUGCUGCCUGGUCCCUUAUGUAUGUGCAAGUAAGUGGUGUAGUACUUGGGAAAGGGAACCAUACUGGCUAGGAAGCAGUUUUUUCCAGGCAGGUACCAGAGUGAUGGUGGCUAAGUAGCUUAGCCACUUUUCAAGUCACUUCACCAAAAAGCUGUACAGAUUUUGAUGUCGGCAGGAGCAGAAAGGGAAAGGGAAAAUGCAGGAAGAGGCAUGACUGCUUACUUUGAGUGACAGGCAUAGCCAGUAAAAGGAUAAAAUGUGCAUCAAAUGAAAGCUGAUUUUUACAGCUGUGAAAUACCAUUCCUCAUCUUCUAAAAGAUGCAACUUAGUUUAGUCAAAGGUAUCCAAAGAGCAGUAGUGCUGGUACAAGUUCCAACAUGGAGUUGGUUUCCCAAUAAAGGCAUCCAGGCAGCCCCCAAACCAGAGGAACCAUGCCUUACAAGGGGUUCAUGGCAGAGGGGGGAGCUCAUGGUGGCCUGCACUGCUACAAAGAGCAACCUCAACCAAAUCAAGUGGGUGGGGACUCCUCAGGGCCAUGACUGCUCAGGCUAUAAAGAUAACAACAAGGAAGUGGUCCCCAGUGCUUCUGAAUAACAAUUCUGCCAGGGCUAACUUGAAGUGAAGCCACACACUAAAUCAUCAGAACUUUUUUUGCAGCACUCAGAUUUUCCUCCCAUGCUGACCAGUCUCAGCUGGACCAUAGCUUGAGUUGGGUAUUAAAUACAUAUCAGCAGUUUCAAUUUAUUUAGUGCCAGGUGCUGCCAAAAUGUCCUUUUUGUCAAUGAUAUCACCAUAGCAUUGGAAUACUGUGUGAAAUUACUUUUUAAUCUGCCCUACAAGCCAAUAGCUGAGAUCGGCUAACAUAGAUCACAGAUCACAGUGAUAACAUAGAUCACAGAUCUAACACAGAUAACAUGGAUCACAGUCUGUUUGAACCUUAAAGUAUUGCUUUAGUCUCACUUUUCCAUAUUGAGUAAAAAUUCCUAUAAGGCAUGGAUCUUUAUCUUGAUUUCCUGGAGUAAUAUUUGAUGAACCUACAAAUUUUGACCAUAUCACUUAAUAGACAUGUAUGCUUUCCUGACAUAAUUGAAAAUUUUUACCCCGGUUUUCUACCUGCUUUUGGCACAUACCUUCCUCCCCAAUCUUCUUCCUUCUCCAGCGUUGUCAUUUCACUUACUGUAAUUGUUUCUUACUUCCUGUUCAGUAGAUUUUGUUUAAUUAGUUACAGAACUCAUGCUACAGACGUUCAAACUUCGUUGCUGUACAGAGAGAUGGGGCUGGAAAGAGCUUUGGGAGUGCAGACCAAGGAGAGCAGCUGAGCUAAGUCUGAUAAAACAGAACCUUCUGGUGAAAGUUGCUUCUGUCUUGGCUGAGGUGCAUCAACCAGCUGCAGGGAUAUCCCCAUCCUGCUGCAGUGCAAAUAAGAGCUACUGGCACUUAAGUAAGCCUUUUUCAUUUUGCGUAAUGGUAGACUAGGAGUGCAGCUGCAGGCGGGUGCUGUACGUCAGCUGGAAGGUUAGAACUUGUACUCCAUUUCAAUGUGUACUUAGAGUUGUCAGGCCAUGUGUCAUGAUGGAAAUGUUCUUGGAACUGGCUGUGUGAAAAAGCAGCUUGUAAAUUAGCUUUGGGGAAAACCCUCAGUGACAAAGGUUGUAUGGUGAAACUGAUUGUCAUAGGGCAUGGGAAAAAAAUACACUUAUUACACAGGGAAUAGUGAGGAAAACUGCAGGCUUGCUCAGCGCCACUGCAGCUCACAAAUACAUCCCUACCAAAGCAAUGAAAUACACCAUUUCUGUGUGAUGGUUGCAUUGUACACAAUUGCCCUUCAGCUGUGUGUAAUGUAUGUAUUAGUUUUGGUUUUAGCUGCCAUUCUUAAAAGGAACAGCGUAAAAGGGAAGAACAAAUCACUUUAUUUUCCAUAUGUGAGUCUUUUCCUUCUGCAUAAUCCUUCUCUACUUCAGUGAAUGGUUUGUAAAUCCCAUUGCUCCUACCUGGGAGUUAGCUUUCUUUUGACUUGUCAGUUUGCAGCAGCCUUUCCCUAAUGAUGUAUGCAAAUAAAUCUGGGAGCAGUACUUCAGAUAAUCCUCCUUAUAUGCAUAAAGAUGUUUGCUUUCUACAUUUUCCCUUAUUUAUUUUAUGUGCUAUUCAUUUAGCUCAACUGAGGAGGAAUGCAGGGAAGGGAGGGAAAAUAGUAGCAUAUGACUAAGUUAAACAAGAGUGGACAAGAGGUUAUGUAUUAAUAGAGAAUAAUAAAUUUCAACUACAAGAUUCCAAAGAGAAACCUUUACAAGGUUUUGCAAAUAUUUUUUAAGUCAUUGCUGGUAGAACUGUUGCUUUUCAUUCUGAACUUGUAGAUUGCAUGUUGUGCCCUUGCUUUUUAUCCUAGUAGCUAAAGUACUUGCAAAUAGAUCAAAUAUAGUAAAUAUUAUAAAUAUAAAUUUUCUAUUUGUUCUGGAGGGCUUUGUUGCACUUCUAUGUGUUUACUUCAGCUUGUUGUUUGGUAAAGAUGUUUUCAGUGUCAAAAUAAGCAGCUCCUCCCUUUUCUUUUGUGAUGCUGUCUCAAUUUGUAAAGCCAAAACAGUGAUCUAGAUCAACAAAGCUGAUCCAGCUGAAAAAUGCCAUGUGGAAGGAAAUACCAGGUGGAAAUACCUUCCUUGUGGAAGGUAUGAGGUCCUGCAUUUUGCCUUCUUGCCUCAUGGCAAUGGAAUUAUACACUGUAAUAAUAAAGGAAUAAGGAUGGUUAGAGAAAGAAUUGAUGGAGCUGGUGCAAGCAGCACCACCAAAUAGGUAUGGGCUCAAACAUCACCACCCCCAAAAGAUGUAGCUCUUCUCAGGAGCUGAAAAAGUGAAGUAAUGUCUGCAUUAUUCAUUGAGCAUACCUCUUCAAACAUAUCAGGAAAUCAAAAUAGUUUGUGUCAAGGACCUGAUUUCUGCUUUGUAUAUGCUUUAUGUUUUGGUUUUUUUACUGCGUCUUGAUGGCUUAAUGCCCAAUUACUGCUGUAGCACAGUUCUGGAGGUCUCCCAGGCAGCUUAGAGCAGAAUCCAGCCCAUGGGCCACAAUGUGAAACCAAGUAUGGGGAGUGAAGAAAUUCACUUUGUGUUCCAUGUACAAAGUAAAACAUCAGUGUAGUUGCUUGACUUGCUUGUCCACAGUGACAAAAGUGUGUGGUCAAACAAUGACUUAGCAAUGGCCUUUCUAGUCAUACCAGCAUGUUACAACUUCCAGGCAAGCCUCCUUCUUGAUUCCCUCUAUUAAGGUUAAGAGAAACCUUAAGUUAGAAUAGGAGGAUGGUUUAAUAACUAGCAGGCUCUAGGUGUAUACACAACUGAGUUGUGCUUCUGCCAGUGUGAGAGUUCAGCAGCUCCUACCUGUGACACAAGUGAUAUUUAAUUGGUGUAUUUAUGCAUAUUGAAGUAUAUGGUAGUGUAAAGGAUAGGGACUUGCAUUACAGUUUUGGCAAACCUGAGCUGAAAGAAAAAACAGCAUAGGUGGCUGAAAGUAGUCAUAAGAUAUUCCAUUUCAUGUCUGCAGAAACCAUUAGACAGUGGUUAUUAGAAAGUUGUUAUUACUACAUCAGAUUCACUUGGGGAGUUAGUUUCUGUAAUGCUCACUGAAACAAUGAUUCUUCUGUUUUUAAGUGGAGCCCGUGCCAAGGGCAGAUAUGUUUUUGUGCAGCCAUGAGAUGGAUUUGUUAACAGUAAAGAUGUAGAUUCUCUCAGUGGCUUCUGUUUCCCUUCUGCCAGCUCAGCACAGUAAGCAAACAGCAGCAUGGCUGUCAUUUUCUGUCCAUGAUUGCCAAAAUUCAGCCUUAUCACAAAUGUAGAAUGCUGGUUUCUUGCUGGCAGUAAACAAACAUGACAAAUUUUUAUAUGGUAAGUCAGAAGAUCAAAAUAUGACCUAUGACACAUUGCAACACACAAGCAGCUUAAAUGCACCACUUCAUAAUAAGUGAACCUUUGAAACUUUUUGCAAAGCUUAGGAGGGCACUGGGCCGUACAACUCUUUGAUCAAGUCUGGGUUUUAGAGCACAAUACAUGUGAUUGGUCAGUGUUUCCUCAUGGGUGCUUUCUUACAUUACUGCAAGAAAUGAAACAAAAGUCUCACAACUUUUUUUUUGUCUGCUUAAAAAGCACAGCUUGUGUAUAACAACGUUUCACAGCACCAAUCAGCCCUGUAAUCACAUUUGUUCUGGAAUGGUAGCAGAAUCCUUUACAGCCAUCACUAGACUAUUACAGGGUCAUUUAUUGAUCUUUGUUCUCCAUGAAGAACCACAGUUUUAUUGAUUCAUCUACCAUUUACAAGUCUCUAUCUUGGUCUUAAAACCUUUCUUUAUUGGUUAAUUUCAUAGUUUCUGUUUGGUUUAUUGUUGUAUUUUCUCAGUCUUCAGUGGCAGAGACGUAAACAGAUGUGAAUAGGUAAUCUUAUAAAUCUGAAUCUUUCCAAGAGAAUUCAGUCUCUCCAAGAAAAUUUAUUUUUUCUAUACAUGGAUAUUUUUGAGCUUACUGAGGCAACCAGUUUGUCUUAAGCCUGUGGCAGCCUCUGUGUUUCUAGAAAGUCUAAAAUAGAACAGCUUUAAAAUUCUUUAAAGUCUCAAAUUUAAUUAAAAAAUCAUAAAAACAAAUUUAAAAAUAUUACCUCCUAAACAACAUUUUAUCCACGUAAAGAAAAUGGAUUCAGCAAGAACAACAUCUAACUUCCACCAUUUCCUCCACUAAAUCUGCAGAACAAGGCUCUUCCUGAAAAGUACGUCCUUUAUAGUAACAAUUGGUCCAUGAAUUCAAAGUUUAGUAGGGCUAAACCACCACCAUUAACUUCUUAUUUGUCCUAUAAAAUGUGUUUUUCCUGCUGAGCUGCACUGCUGUUAUUUUUGCCCAUGAUGAACCUGGUGGAAGUUUGGCCGUGCAGCUGCAGCUCCAUUUAUAUAUUGUAUCUGGAAGGUCCCACUGCCGAAGGCUGUGAUGAGGCCUUGGUGACUAGAAAUAGACUGAGCUAAUGCUGUGCCUUGUACCUCCCAGGACAGAAAUGCCAUGGUUUGCCCAGUUUGAAUGAACGCAUUGUUUCUUGUUUUAUGAUGAGGAGUGUGCUGAGAAAAACAAGAGUUUCUGGAAAGAUUGUUAGUGCCUCUGUAGAGAGGUCCUGAGUUUCAGUCAGUGGCUUACUUGGACUGGGUGUGAAUUUUCAGUCUGUUUCUAAUGGAUCCAGAUGUGAGUAGGUGGUUUUCUGGGGCAGUCUCGGGAGUUUCAGAGUGUUUACAGUAUAAAAGGCAGACUGCACCUGAAAUUCAAUUUUUUAAUUUUUGCAUUGGUCCAAGACACUUGCAUGUUCAGUCUUAGGAAUUCUAAAUAAGCAAUGUAUUGACAGAAGAACAUCUGAAUUUCAAAGUGACUAUACCUGAAAACUGUGUAAUAUCUUUCACUUACUGUCAUUUAUCUCAGCAGGUGGUAAACUUAACAUUUUUAGAUGUUUUGAAAAGUAUCAUCACUGGCUUACCCUGGAUGACUUACACACACACUUUGGAAAGCAUCAGUAUUACUGCUGAGAAGUGCACUUUCUUCAAAUAAGACUGGUUUACAGUUUCUCAUUCUUUAGUAAAGUGUAUGUUUAUCCUCUGGGAUUAAGUAAUUUUCUGCUAUGGUUAUGUUGCCCUUGAAAAAAAAUAUAUACAUUCAAAUCAUCCUGGGGGUUUAGAUUCCUGUUUGCUAAUGAGUACAGACUUCAAAUAAGACUUAACUUUCUUCCCCACAGUUAAAACAACCUGUCUUGCUUUUGCAAAUCAGUGGCUUUAAAUCUUUUCGAAGAGCAGAUAUGUGAGAGAUGCUUCAAUGUUUUGUUUAGUUGCUGCUUUUUGUGAUUUACUGAAGCUGAUGAUUUACAUGUAUGCACUGGCAAUCAGUAUAUGCAUUGUUGAUGUUCUGGGAAUGUCAAAUUCCAGCAUAAUUCUGUGCAUUAUUGUCCAGCACCUCUUUUUUUUUGCUUAAAUUUGUUGUGGAUAAUUUGUUGUGGAUUUAUAUCAUAAAUUAAGAGCUUAAAAUGUACUUGUGGUUUUUAUAUCGAUUCAGUUGUCAAUUUGCCAAGUAUCUUCCUCUCCACUACCUCCUCCUCAGUAUCUGCUUUUCGGUGUUCACAAGUGAAAGUUUUAUACAUUGGUCCACGUGUAAAUAAAUAGCUUAUCAUUUCAUUUCACUACUAGUGUCUACAUUUAAUGGUUACUCUAAGUGAGCAAAACAGCCAAUUGCCACUGACUAAGCUGUGGAGGAGCAGGUGUGGAGAACCCAUCUUUCUGAACUCCGUAGCACUUGCAAGUGGUUCAGGCAUGACUCAUCUCCUACACCCAGCAGCACAUCUUGUCGAAACUAGGGAUGCUGAGUGUCUCAGUAAACUCCCAGGACUUGUGAAGCCUCUUCAGGAAUACAGUUGGACUCCCAGCUCUGUCUCUGUCAUUCUCUGUUCAGCACUGUGUGCAGCAUGUGAUCUACCAGCUCUUUGGCUGGAUUUUUAUAGGACUGAGCACACUGGCUACCAUGCCUGUAGCAAUUAUCCAGCUUUCUGAAGCUGCUUGGAUUCUAGAAAACUCUUGUGUAAGCAAGAAACAUAAGCAAUUAUAGCUGGUAACAUCCUGCUUUAGGUAAUCUGCCGUUCUCCGUACCACUUUCAGUAAUGUGUUUUUCAGUUUUUCUAUGCAUAUGCUUCCAGUUUUUCACAGUUCACAAGUGGAUAUUUACAUAAUUAAGGGGGAAAUUUCCAGUGUGCAUUUGAAAAAUAUUUCAAGUGACAUAGAAAUGGUGAAAAAAUACCAACUAACUUACUUCUUUCCCCAUUCACCCCAGAAAAUUGCUUGUUAAAGAUGAAGUAGUCAGCACCAUCAGAUGGACCAGAUACAAUAUCAUAGUUCCCAGUAUUUUGUCCUGGUAAUGGUAAAGAUAUUAUUUUUCUACUCCCAUUGUUCUAGAUUCAUUUUUCUAAAUAUCUUCUGCUAGCUUAUAGCUGUGAAUACAGUCUAAUAUGAAGGUCUGUUCUGCAUAUUCUACAUCAGAUUCAACCUGUAUCACUUAGUCCUUAUUUUUGAAAGCUUACCUGAUCAAUUCCCAGCUAUCACUCAGUUUCUAAUUUCUGCUGUGAAACAGAAAAAUGGACAAGCUAUUUCUAUGUUAUACGUACAGAUGUAUACUGGCUGGUAGGAAAGUACAAUAGUGAAUUCCCUUCUUCUCCAGGACACUUUCAGUCCAAAGGGCAGUAAAAACCACUAUGAAAAGUGUUUACAGGAUUUAUGAACUGAUAGUUGGAUCCUGUCACAAAAGAAGGUGAAAAACAAAACAGGGAAUGGGCAUCUGUGGGGACUGGUUGCUUGGUUAGUGGUUUUAGAGGUUUAUGGAAAAGCUUGUCAAAUGAUAAGGUGACCACAGACUCCACUGGAUCAUAUUUUAAAAGGUAAAGUACUUGAUCUUUCUGACUUCAGUAUUUCUUCCUUUGAAGUUUUAAGACACUACGUGUACUUCUUGGUCAGAGAUGUCAAGUAUUCAGAGGCUGGUCUGUCUGUGUGUGCUUCUUGUGUGAUUUUUUUCAGGGACAAGAAUGAAAUUCACACCAAUUUUUUCGAGAUGGGUUUCCACUGAGAAUGUGGAUCAAAGAUCAGUAAAUAACAAUCCACAUAAACAAACUUUGUAAGAACCAGGCUUUAAGCAUGAAGACAGUAAUAGCCAUUUUGCUGUUAAUGUUGUGUAUGAAAGGCUCAGCACCAUAAACCGUACAAAUUGGCAACCAAAAGAAUAUGCUUCAUGCUGUCUUCCAUUGUCAUGCUAAUAAAUCUUGCUUCUAGGUUUGUAUAUGGUAGAAAUCUUCCUAUUUCAUCUACAUACCUCUCUAGAAAGGGUGAAAUUCACUACUGAGAAACUAAAGCCACAGCAGUCAUUAUAAAUGCAGUUCAUUUAAGAAAGGUAUUUCUUGCCUAAAUAACUACCAUUUAGCAUUAUAUUAAUCUGUCUUGUGAAACUGGAUUAUUAUUCUUGAUUCAGUCACAAAAAAAGUUCCCAGUUCCUUUUACUUAACAGAACAGGGUCAGCCAAAGAGUCAGAGAAGAAGAGGAUGUGAUCUUCAUGGAUCUGAAAGAAUCAUAACUUAUGCAAGAACACUUUUGCUGUUGUUGUUGUUCUUCUUGCUGUUGUUGGCUAGGUAUUCCAAAGUAGUGAGACCUGGGAAGAUAAUAGUGAUAUUAUAUAAGCUGUUCUACAUAAGACCACAACAACAAAUCCUCUUCCACACUAGCACACCAGCAUUUCUAUUAUUUAGAGGCUACAGUGGUAGGUAAACAUAUAUCUUGAUUUUUGAUGGUGCAUAUGGAAAGAUGCAGUCAUUUAGGCCUGCACAAUGUUAGGUAUAUCAGAGAGAAAAGUACAGAAUUAUAGCUUAUGUCCUAAUAUACCCUUUUUUUCUCAUAAGAAAAUAUUUUAUAAUGCUUGCAAGUCCUGUUGCUAAUUGUACUGUAAAUUGUACAGUGGAAUAUGUACAGUGUGCAUCCAAAAAGUUGGAAAUCAAAUGUGCUAAUUUUAGUGAUAUCUCAAAGGGUCAAAUCUUAGUAAUAAUGUAAAGAAGAGCACCCACUCACCACCACCUCCUCUUCUCCUACGUGAAAACCUGUUUCAGAUUUGAUUCUGUUGUGCUGUUUAAUACACAGAGUGGUAUUAAUGGUUUGAAUAUGUGUAGAAUUAAAAGUUUGUUUUCAUGGAUUGCAAAUAUUUUUAAUAAAUAUUCCAGGCUUGAUGUUACUGUAGAGUUGUACCAUACCCUUAAUGCUAGUGAGUUGCCUAGUAAGGUCAGUGAAAUGAAAAUAUUUGCUCUGGCAUGCAAGCAAGUUCUAAAAGAGCUUAGGCAAUAUUUCUGCUGCAGAAAGUGUCAAUUUAGAACUGCCCAAGUUCUUCUCUAACUUGUGAGUUUUAUUUUUCUAAAAUAAAAUAAAACUGUUUUGUUGUUCUUGAUCUGUCUUCCAUAUGGAAUUAUUUUUAGCAAAUAUGCUGCAUGACUCUGUAUUAUAUUGUUUUGUUGUGUUGGUGGGAUUUUUUAUUUAUUUCAAGGCCACUCUGUGCUGUCUCAGAAAAUACAGAAGGAAAACAACUUAGGGAAUUUGAGCUAUGUGUUAAAAGUCAUCUAUUAAAUGUAACCUGAUUUAAGUUACUCAGUUAAUGAACAUAUACAAGAAAUAGAUUGGUCAUUCUGCUUUGUGUCUUAAUUAUUGUGGGGAGAAAAGAGCCUAUACAAGUAUUUGAACUCUCUGCUGCCACAGUCUCAUGACCAUUGAAGGUCAGUGAGGUGAGGGGACCUCCUGGAGUCAGAACCCCUGCAUUUCCUUUACAAAGCUGAAAAGAUGAGUGUAUUUAUCAGUAUGUCAUUUUUCUUAAUGUAUUUGGCAUGAGACACUAGUAUUUUUCGGGGUGAAUUUGGUUCUGUUUUGCAUAAUAAAAUGCUCCUAGGUUUCAGGGCACCUACAUUUGUCAUGUGUUUGACACACAGUAUAGAAGUUACAAGUUAAUAUAUUAAGUUAUGCUUUGCUGAAGACAGAGAGAUUGGGUACUGUUCGUUGCACAGGUGUGGAAUGAGUGGAUGUGUUCCCAGUCAUGAACCAGCUGUGAAAAUUAAAGUAGUUUAUCAGGAAGGGAAGACAUGGACAAAGGCUGGAAACUUGCCUUGUAGGGAAAGGAAAAGGUGAAGUAUCUUUGAUGUAACCUACCUCCACGGAGAUACUUGUAUACUUGUGGUUUUUUGUUAAUUUCCACACCUUUAAUGAAUGUUUGAAUUUGUCAGUUCCAAAUUUUAUGACUGAGUAAUUUAUGUUCACUUUAUUUUAAUUUGAAUUCAUGCUGGAUAACAGCAAAGCAUAAAGUGAAUCUGUAGACUAGGAGCAAUAGAACACUUCAGACAUCUUUGUCCUCCAGCGUAUUUUUCAUGACACACAAAGGAUAACAACAGGGAAUCCAUUUGAGCUACUUGAGCCAUGCAGUGAAUUGGCACUCACUGCAAAAGAACAAGAACUAGCCAAGACAGCAUUUCUUCUACCUCCUGUUGGUUACAUUCCUGAAGUGGAUCCAUGAAUCAAAGACUGUGGGAAAAGUAACAGUGUAAAAAUAUUUUUACUUUUUUUGUCCCUCAUAGCCCGAGAAACUGCUGUAAGGUUGUAUUGAUACAUUACAACUGAGAGAAAUCAAUUUCGUUUUUUUGUAACAAAUGAUGGCAAUAGUUCCACUUGCUGUGUAGUUGUCUUUUUGAACCAUCAGUCUAAUGCUUAAGACCUUAAGCUUGCAAGAAAAUCUAGUCAUUAGGUAUCUACCUGCUCACCUGGAAUAAUGCCUGCUUGGAGAGGCAAUAGAUUUCUAGGGAAAAAUGCAGUAAUUUCCAUAUUUCCUUUCCACAAUAUGUCAUUUUAAGAACUUCACAAAUUUGGAGAAAUUGGUGAAGUGUAUAGUUGCCUCAUACAUGCCAUUCUCUGGCAUUAUUUAUCCACAACCUCAUUUUCUGUAGCUACUGGAAGUUUUCAAAAUUAGGGAAGUCUUAAUUGUUCAGUCAUAAAUCAACUAUCAAUCUUCUUUUUGGAUCACGAACUUAUA